CCCUAGAACAUGUUUAUUUAAAGUUUUCUUCUUAGUUUGAGCUUGUGUUUUUGAGUAAUAGUGGUUGUUUUCAUUUGAAAUGCUUAGGAAUCAAAUUCUAGGUUUGGUUUGGGUUAAUUAAGGGUUAUAGCAGUUGGUUUGGUUGGUUGAUUUAGGUGUUGUGUUAAUUUGAGCAUAAAAACCUUAACUUAGGUCUUUAAUGGCAUAUCUUGACUUAGUGGUUAUUUCUGGGAUUUGUUGGUUGGAAAACGUUGUAAAUACAUUAUGCAGGUGUUCUGGAGAGUUUGGUGAAGUUUGGUGGAAUUUUGAAUUAAGGGGGUUGAUUUUUGGGUUCCCAACACAGAACCGGUCAACCGGUUCUGGGGGACCUGUACCAACCGGUCGACCGGUUGGUGUCCCAGUUUUGGACUUCCGGUUGGGACCGGUCUGCCGGUUGGGGGGAUUUUUGGAACCCUAGUUUUUCCCAAUUUUGAGAUAUUUAGGGUAUUGCCAUGUGGUUUAUUGAUGGGGAAACUUUUAGUUUCAAGUUUAAGUCCCCGAGUAGUGAUUUAGCGAGUCACUCAUCUGUGUUACAAUUAUUGUGAUUAGGGCAUCCAUCUAGCACGAGAAUUUUCGUUCAGGUCAGCCAACACACUUGAAUUCGGAAAACAGGUAAAGGAAAGGCGAUAACUGAACUGAAGUGAACUUGAGCUCGGAUGGGAUUGUACAUAUCAAAGCAGCGCGACCUGGAGUGUUCGGUCUCGGGAUAUCUGGAAAUUGUAUAUUGUUAGUCGCUGUGCGGCCUGAAAAAUGUAUAUUUUGAAACAAUAAUUUUAAAAGUUUGAAAAUGGGAUCCCGGCACUUGUAAAUAUUUUAAUAUAUUAUAAAGUUUAUUAAUUAAUAUAAAAGUUUUAAUUUGACACA